GACGAACGCUGGCGGCGCGCCUAACACAUGCAAGUCGAACGGAGCUGAGAGAAGCUUGCUUUUCUUAGCUUAGUGGCGAACGGGUGAGUAACGCGUGAGUAACCUGCCCUGUAGUGGGGGACAACAGUUGGAAACGACUGCUAAUACCGCAUAAGCUCACGAUCCGUCUUCGGAUUGAGUGAAAAUGAUUUAUUCGCUUUAUGAUGGACUCGCGUCCAAUUAGCUAGUUGGUGAGGUAACGGCCCACCAAGGCGACGAUUGGUAGCCGGACGGAGAGGUUGAGCGGCCACAUUGGGACUGAGACACGGCCUAGACUCCUACGCGAGGCAGCAGUGGCGGAUAUUGCACUAUGGAGGAAGAUGUGAUGCAGCGACGCCGCGUGGAGGAAGAAGAUUUUCGGAUUGUAAACUCCUGUCGUUAGGGACGAUAGUGACGGUACCUAACAAGAAAGCCCCGGCUAACUACGUG
rnacentral:rRNA from 1 species